GACGAACGCUGGCGGUAUGCUUAACACAUGCAAGUCGAACGAGACAAAAGAGAAGUGCUUGCACGGAUCUUUUAGAAAGUGGCGAACGGGUGAGUAACGCGUGGGUAACCUACCCUAUGGAAAGGAAUAGCCUCGGGAAACUGGGAGUAAUGCCUUAUAAGAUAUAUUUGUCGCAUGGCUUUUCUAUCAAACGCUCCGGUGCCAUAGGAUGGACCCGCGUCCCAUUAGCUAGUUGGUGAGGUAACGGCUCACCAAGGCAACGAUGGGUAACCGGUCUGAGAGGGCGAACGGUCACACUGGAACUGAGACACGGUCCAGACUCCUACGGGAGGCAGCAGUGGGGAAUAUUGCGCAAUGGGGGAAACCCUGACGCAGCAAUACCGCGUGAAUGAAGAAGGUCUUCGGAUCGUAAAGUUCUGUUAUUGGGGAAGAACAAAGACGGUACCCAAGGAGAAAGUCCCGGCUAACUACGUGCCAGCAGCCGCGGUAAUACGUAGGGGACAAGCGUUGUCCGGAUUUACUGGGCGUAAAGGGCACGCAGGCGGUUUUUUAAGUCAGAUGUGAAAGGUACCGGCUCAACCGGUGACAUGCAUUUGAAACUGAAAGACUUGAGUAUUGGAGAGGCAAGUGGAAUUCCUAGUGUAGCGGUGAAAUGCGUAGAUAUUAGGAGGAACACCGGUGGCGAAGGCGGCUUGCUGGACAAAUACUGACGCUGAGGUGCGAAAGCGUGGGGAGCAAACA
rnacentral:rRNA from 1 species